GCAUUGGUGGUUCAGUGGUAGAAUUCUAGCUUGCCAUGUUGGAGGCCCUGGGUUCGAUUCCCAGCCAAUGCA